GACGAACGCUGGCGGCGUGCUUAACACAUGCAAGUCGAACGGAAAGGCCCUGCUUUUGUGGGGUGCUCGAGUGGCGAACGGGUGAGUAACACGUGAGUAACCUGCCCUUGACUUUGGGAUAACUUCAGGAAACUGGGGCUAAUACCGGAUAGGAGCUCCUGCUGCAUGGUGGGGGUUGGAAAGUUUCGGCGGUUGGGGAUGGACUCGCGGCUUAUCAGCUUGUUGGUGGGGUAGUGGCUUACCAAGGCUUUGACGGGUAGCCGGCCUGAGAGGGUGACCGGCCUCAUUGGGACUGAGAUACGGCCCAGACUCCUACGGGAGGCAGCAGUGGGGAAUAUUGCACUUUGGGCGGAAGCCUGAUGCAGCAACGCCGCGUGCGGGAUGACGGCCUUCGGGUUGUAAACCGAUUUCGCCUGUGACGAAGCGUGAGUGACGGUAAUGGGUAAAGAAGCACCGGCUAACUACGUG
rnacentral:rRNA from 1 species